UUCAGAGGUCCCGAGCGUUGUUCGGAUUUACUGGGCGUAAAGGGAGCGUAGGCGGUUCGGUAUGUCGAAUGUGAAAGCCCACAACUCAACUGUGGAAAUGCAUUCGAAACUGCCGGGCUAGAGUACUGGAGAGGAGAGCGGAAUUCUUGGUGUAGCGGUGAAAUGCGUAGAUAUCAAGAGGAACACCGGUGGCGAAGGCGGCUCUCUGGACAGAUACUGACGCUGAGGCUCGAAAGCGUGGGGAGCAAACAGGAUUAGAUACCCG
rnacentral:rRNA from 1 species